UACGUAGGGGGGCAAGCGUUGUCCGGAUUUAUUGGGCGUAAAGAGCGUGUAGGCGGCUAGGUAGGUCCGUUGUGAAAACUCGAGGCUCAACCUCGAGACGCCGGUGGAAACCGUCUAGCUAGAGUCCGGAAGAGGAGAGUGGAAUUCCAGGUGUAGCGGUGAAAUGCGUAGAUAUCUGGAGGAACACCGGUGGCGAAGGCGGCAUCCUGGACCAAUAUUGACGCUGAGGAGCGAAAGCCAGGGGAGCAAACGGG
rnacentral:rRNA from 1 species